GAGGAACCUUCAUUCUAGUCACCGACGUCUGCAUCUCGAUCACCGAUCAGCCAGAGAAUGUGGAAGCUGAGUGCCAGGAACCCUGUUCCCAGGAGGUCGCCCAGAGCCGUCAGAAGCAAGGCCAGUAUUCAUCACCCAUUCCUAGAUGUCCUUGAGAUGGUUGUGUUGAGCUGCCUCCUUGAAUACAACUCAGUCAUGUGUGAUGUGCAGUCGGACUUGUUCCCUUUCCUUAAGCGCUUGGAAUACCAUGCUCUAAAAAUAAACAAGUAGAAUUGGAGACUAAACAAAGUGACCCAAGUGGACUCUUCUCUUUGACGAAGACCUUUAUCUUUACUUGCAACUUGUACAUGCACCUGUCAGACUGAGAACUCUUGAAUCUAUCAAAUGGGAGAAUUCACUUUCUAAUAUUUGUUAACUCUCAACCGGGUCAUGAUUGGGUUCAGUUUUUAAUAGUUUCUGAUGAAGCUCAGAAUAACUAAGCAGUAUUUUUCAAAAGUUUGUAAUUGCUAAAACCCUACAGUAAAGUUUGAAACUUUGAAAAGAGAUACGUACUUGCAAUAAAGCAGCCAUCAUGUAGAACACAAUAAAUAUUGGCGUUAGUGUUGUGUGUCCCCCCUGCAUUGAGUUAAUAGUGUAUAGAAAGACAAGGUGUCCAGGGACAACUAGAAGGAACAAGACCCGAGCUGAUCUCGAAUUCAAAUCUGCAAAAGAAUAAACAAAUGCAAAACAUUCUUUUUACAGCCAUCUGAAAUGAUUAAACACUACAGUUUUAAUUCUGGACUGAUAAAGCAAAUCAUAAAUAAC